rnacentral:rRNA from 1 species
GGUACUAGCGUUGUCCGGAAUUAUUGGGCGUAAAGGGCUUGUAGGUGGUUUGCUGCGUCUGUCGUGAAAACCCGGGGCUUAACCCUGGGCUUGCGGUGGGUACGGGUAGGCUUGAGUGCGGUAGGGGAGACUGGAAUUCCUGGUGUAGCGGUGGAAUGCGCAGAUAUCAGGAGGAAUACCGGUGGCGAAGGCGGGUCUCUGGGCCGUUACUGACACUGAGGAGCGAAAGCGUGGGGAGCGAAC